rnacentral:rRNA from 1 species
UACAGAGGUCUCAACCGUUGUUCGGAUUCAUUGGGCGUAAAGGGUGCGUAGGCGGUCGUGUAAGUCGGAUGUGAAAUCUCAGGGCUCAACCCUGAAACUGCAUUCGAUACUGCGUGGCUAGAGUGCUGGAGAGGAGACUGGAAUUUACGGUGUAGCAGUGAAAUGCGUAGAUAUCGAAAGGAAGACCAGUGGCGAAGGCGAGUCUCUGGACAGCAACUGACGCUGAGGCACGAAGGCCAGGGGAGCAAACGGG